CUGGAGGAAAGACCUACCCGGCUUAACAAUUUCACAAAAUCACGGGCAUCUCUGAUUCUCUCUUGGUUUCAUUUCUUUCGGUAUAACAUUAGUUUCAUCUCUAAUUUAAGCGCUUCUGCUCAAUUUCACUUGGAUAGCACUAGGGAUUCUAUCAGACAUCCAAAUUUCAGGUACUUCAUCUCAAUGGAUGAAAA